UACGAAGGGUGCAAGCGUUACUCGGAAUUACUGGGCGUAAAGCGUGCGUAGGUGGUGAGUUAAGUCUGUCGUGAAAGCCCCGGGCUCAACCUGGGAAUGGCGAUGGAUACUGGCUCGCUAGAGUGCGGUAGAGGAGAGUGGAAUUCCCGGUGUAGCAGUGAAAUGCGUAGAGAAUCGGGAGGAACAUCAGUUGCGAAGGCGGCUCUCGUGG
rnacentral:rRNA from 1 species